UUGAACGCUGGCGGCAUGCCUUACCCAUGCCAGUCGAACGGUAACGGGCCUUCGGGUGCCGACGAGUGGCGAACGGGUGAGUAAUACAUCGGAACGUGCCCGAUCGUGGGGGAUAACGAGGCGAAAGCUUUGCUAAUACCGCAUACGAUCUACGGAUGAAAGCAGGGGACCGCAAGGCCUUGCGCGGACGGAGCGGCCGAUGGCAGAUUAGGUAGUUGGUGGGAUAAAAGCUUACCAAGCCGACGAUCUGUAGCUGGUCUGAGAGGAUGAUCAGCCACACUGGGACUGAGACACGGCCCAGACUCCUACGGGAGGCAGCAGUGGGGAAUUUUGGACAAUGGGCGCAAGCCUGAUCCAGCCAUGCCGCGUGCAGGAUGAAGGCCUUCGGGUUGUAAACUGCUUUUGUACGGAACGAAAAGCCUUCUUUUAAUACAGGAGGGUCAUGACGGUACCGUAAGAAUAAGCACCGGCUAACUACGUG
rnacentral:rRNA from 1 species